ensembl:rRNA 5S_rRNA 5S ribosomal RNA
CUUUAUGAGCCAUACCACCCUGAGCGCGCCCGAUCUCGUCUGAUCUCGGAAGCUAAGCAGGGUUGGGCUUAGUUAGUACUUGGAUGGGAGACCGCCUGGGAAUACCAGGGGCUGUAAGCU